UAUGGAAGCAUAAAAUACAGUUAUAAUAGAACUUAUUAAAACAAUAAGAGUAUUAUCACAUCAAAUCAUUGAAAUUUUAGCGAUAAAGAUGAUAAAAGGUAAAAGAACAAAAAGAUAAAACAUUGAAAUAUUUAUAAGUAUUUUACACACAUCUGGACAGGACAGUAAUUAUUCCUGCAAUGUGUCUAAAGAUUGUUAUAUAAAUGACGUGAGUGUAAGUCAUUAAUUGUCCGUUGGAAGGUAGAACAUUCAAUCACAAGAAAAGGCGCACGUUUUAAUUAUAUAGAAAAGAUAAUCAAUUAGGAAGAAUGUUCGUCAAAAACAUGCAAGUCUGUUUUAUAACAGUUGUACUGUUAACGAUGGGAGCUGGCGUUGCAGCCGGCACCUGCAAAUGUGUAGCAAUGUGGCACACUUGUUUCUUGUCAUGUGGCGACGCAAGUCAAAGGAUCGUUUGCUCUGAUUGUUCUUACGGUAGAAGUUUAUGCUUCGACAAGUGCUUUAGAAGACAACAAGACUCCAUGAGUUCAUUUGAUGACGGUAAUGAAGACAAUUUAGUCCAUGUAAAAUAAACUCAUAUCUGACAUGUAAUUAAUGAUAAUCAAACUACGAUGAUAACUUAAGAAAUAGAACUAUAUGAUGAUAAUAAAUAAUGUUUGAAAUUGUAAAACUGACGUUUAGAAAUAAAGGCGACAGAAUCGAUUGUGUAAAAGCAACAA